AGGUUUAAUCAUUAGCAUCACAGAGGUAGGGCAACAGGAAGAGCAGGAAGAAGCUAACCAUGAGCCUGCUGUGAUUCAGCCACGGAAGAGGGAGAAAGCAGGGAAACAGAACUAUGGAGGGAGGACAAGAGAUCAAAGAUCUGGGAAGUAAGGAGGAAGAGAAAGCCCCCGCUGGUCCCGCAAAUCGAUUCUCUGCAAGGCCCGCCUCCCCGUCUGUGCUCCGAACUCCUAAGCAGAAUGUAGCCUCCGUGGGAUGCCAGGCCUGAACAGAAGGGCCCAGGAGCACUGGGCAGACACACAUGCCAGGCUGCCAGAACCUCUGGGCCUGAUUUGUCCUACAGGGAGGUCCUACAUCCUCCAGACACCCCCUGACCUCUCUCCAAAAUACACACGCUCUGUUUGCUUCAGGG